GCCCAGCGCUGAAUCCUGCGGCCCCGGCGGGCCGCCGGGAAAUGUAGCGUUCGGGAGGAGAGUUAUACAUACACGCGCGGUCAUUAGUCACGGCUGCCUGUCCAAGUUCAUCUUGAACGGGGCCCGCUUACCCGCAGAGGGUGCCAGGCCCGUGGUGACGGUAGCCGGCCGCGACGGUCUCUCUCCCUAGAGUCGGGUUGCUUGAGAGUGCAGCCCUAAGUGGGUGGUAAACUCCAUCUAAGGCUAAAUACUACCACGAGACCGAUAGCGAACAAGUACCGUGAGGGAAAGUUGAAAAGAACUUUGAAGAGAGAGUUAAAGAGUACGUGAAACCGUUCAGGGGUAAACCUGUGGAACUCAAACGAGCGAACGGGGAGAUUCAUCGCGUCUUCCGUCGGGGCUCGCGCCUCGCGCGAACCUUCGCCUUCGGCUCUCGGGUCGGGGCGGGGGGCGCGCGGGUGCGCKGUCAGGCUCUCGGAGCGCGUGCACUUCUCCCUCAGUAUAACACCGCGACCCGUCGCGCCGCGGUCGAAUGCGCCGUGCGGUUGACCCGUCUCGCUCUGCGAGGCGGAGCCGCGGCGUCCACGGCCGCGGCGUACAUUACGCAGCGACGGUAGAGAACGAGGAUCGCGUCCGCCCCCAGCGGGCGUCCGUCGCGCUGCAGCGGCGUCCUUCGCGCGGCCCCCGGCGUCUAGUGCGUCGCGGGUGUCGCGAGUCGGGUGUCCGUCGUUAGCGGCGCGCUCUCGGACGGGACGCGUCCCGGUCGGCGGUGGUUUUGUUUUGGGCACUCACAGGACCCGUCUUGAAACACGGACCAAGGAGUCUAGCAUGUGCGCGAGUCAUUGGGAACACUGAUAAACCCAGAGGCGAAAUGAAAGUGAAAGGCCGGCCUCGAGCCGGUCGCAGGGAAGAUGCGCGGGCGUCGUCAGACGCCCCGCCGCAUUCCCGAGGCGUUUCGAGAAAGCCCCCGUGCGAUUAUCGAGACGCACUGAGAGCGUACACGCUGGGACCCGAAAGAUGGUGAACUAUGCCUGGUCAGGUCGAAGUCA
rnacentral:rRNA from 1 species